UACGGAGGGUGCAAGCGUUAUCCGGAUUUACUGGGGUUAAAGGGUGUGUAGGCGGACUUUUAAGUCAGCGGUGAAAUCUCCGGGCUCAACCCGGAAACUGCCAUUGAUACUAUUUGUCUUGAAUGUUGUUGAGGUGGGCGGAACGGGUCAUGUAGCGGUGAAAUGCAUAGAUAUGACCCGGAACACCGAUUGCGAAGGCAGCCCACUAAGCAACGAUUGACGCUGAGGCACGAAAGCGUGGGGAUCAAACAGG
rnacentral:rRNA from 1 species